UGGGGAAUUUUGGACAAUGGGGGAAACCCUGAUCCAGCCAUCCCGCGUGUGCGAUGAAGGCCUUCGGGUUGUAAAGCACUUUUGGCAGGAAAGAAACGUCAUGGGUUAAUACCCCGUGAAACUGACGGUACCUGCAGAAUAAGCACCGGCUAACUACGUGCCCGCAGCCGCGGUAAUACGUAGGGUGCAAGCGUUAAUCGGAAUUACUGGGCGUAAAGCGUGCGCAGGCGGUUCGGAAAGAAAGAUGUGAAAUCCCAGAGCUCAACUUUGGAACUGCAUUUUGAACUACCGGGCUAGGGUGUGUCAGAGGGAGGUGGAAUUCCGCGUGUAGCAGUGAAAUGCGUAGAUAUGCGGAGGAACACCGAUGGCGAAGGCAGCCUCAUGGGAUAACACGGACGCUCAUGCACGAAAGCGUGGGGAGCAAACAGG
rnacentral:rRNA from 1 species